rnacentral:rRNA from 1 species
GACGAACGCUGGCGGCGUGCCUAAUACAUGCAAGUCGAGCGGACCUCUUCGGAGGUCAGCGGCGGACGGGUGAGUAACACGUGGGCAACCUGCCUGUAAGACUGGGAUAACUCCGGGAAACCGGAGCUAAUACCGGAUACUAUGUCAAACCGCAUGGUUUGACAUUCAAAGACGGUUUCGGCUGGCACUUACAGAUGGGCCCGCGGCACAUUAGCUAGUUGGUGAGGUAACGGCUCACCAAGGCGACGAUGCGUAGCCGACCUGAGGGGGUGAUCGGCCACACUGGGACUGAGACACGGCCCAGACUCCUACGGGAGGCAGCAGUAGGGAAUCUUCCGCAAUGGACGAAAGUCUGACGGAGCAACGCCGCGUGAGUGAUGAAGGUUUUCGGAUCGUAAAACUCUGUUGUCAGGGAAGAACAAGUGCCGGAGUAACUGCCGGCGCCUUGACGGUACCUGACCAGAAAGCCACGGCUAACUACGUGCCAGCCGCCGCGGUAA